UAAAAGUAUUUAGGCUUUGUUUUAGGAUAAAAAUUUAAUUUAAAUGUAAAUUUUAGUUUGAGUUAUAAGAUGUUUAAAUAAUGUAUUUUAUUAGAGUUACAAUAGAUAAUAUUAUAUAUUUGGGCAUUCAAGAUAUGGUAAUUUUUUUUAGUACGAACUAAAUUUGUGCCAGCAGUUGCGGUUACACAGAUUGUACGAUUUUAAAUUUUUGAGGGCAGUUAGAAUCUUUAUUGAGCUGAAAGUGGGACUUUUUAGGUGAAAUUUUAAGUUUUUGGUUGCUUUGUGGUUGAGGCUGAUAAAUUUAAUAAAAGACUAGGAUUAGAUACCCUAUUAUAUAAACGUGAAGUUGGUCCUCUAAUUAGUAUUAGUUACUUUCUUGAAAAUUAAUAAAGUUGGCGGUAUUUUAGUCUAUUCAGAGGAACCUGUUCUGUAAUUGAUAGUCCACGAUUUGAUAUACUUAUUUUUUUAGUUUGCGUAUGGCUGUAGGUUGAAUAUUUUUGUUGAAUUAUAAUAUUCAAAAUUUAUAUUUAAAUUAAAUCAGGUCAAUAUGUAGUUUAUAGAUAAGGAGAAAUGGGUUACAUUUAAUUUAUUAAUGGAUUUUAUGUUUUAAUAUAUAGAUUAAAUUGGAUUUGAGAGUAAACUUAUUAAAUAUUUAGGUUGAUUAGAGCUCUAAAAUAUGUACAUAUCGCCCGUCGCUUUCGCUUUAAAGUGGAAUAAGUCGUAACAUAGUAGAUGUACUGGAAAGUGCCUCUAGAAAGCA
rnacentral:ncRNA from 1 species